GUGCAUGUGGUGGAUGCCUUGGCGAUUACAGGCGACGAAGGACGUACAAGCCUGCGAAAAGCUCUGGGGAGCUGGCAAUGAAGCUUUGAUCCAGAGAUGUCCGAAUGGGGAAACCCACUCCGCAAGGAGUAUCCCACGCUGAAUACAUAGGCGUGCGGAAGCGAACCCGGCGAACUGAAACAUCUAAGUAGCCGGAGGAAAAGAAAUCAACCGAGAUUCCCAAAGUAGUGGCGAGCGAAAUGGGGACCAGCCUGCAAGUGAUAGCGAUUGCGUUAGCGGAAGUCUCUGGAAAGUGGCGCCGUAGUGGGUGAAAGCCCCGUAGCGAAAACCCGAUCGUGGUACUAAGUUUGCGACAAGUAGGGCGGGGCACGAGAAAUCCUGUCUGAACAUGGGGGGCCCAUCCUCCAAGGCUAAAUACUCGUAAUCGACCGAUAGUGCACCAGUACCGUGAGGG
rnacentral:rRNA from 1 species